CAAAUCAAAUAAUUUAGCAACUAUUGUAAUUUGAAAGAGUCCUAGUCCAGUGGGACUCUAUGACCCAGUCUAGUGGGAUUUUAUUUGAGCUAUGGAGUUUGAAGGUGAGCUAUGAACUGAAGAGAGAAGAUGAUUCUAAUUAGAUAUUUGUACGUAAUCACUAUUUAUUUUAAGAAUUUUAAGAAAUAAAUAAAAAUUCUCACUAUUUUCUUCGAAUCCUAACACUUCUCAGGUUAAGAAAUGAAAAUCCAUACGUGAGUUAAGAUUCCUAGUGGAUACUGCGGUCUCACCGAUUGACUAGGGGUGCCAAUC
rnacentral:lncRNA from 1 species